CAGCAGCCGCGGUAAUACGUAGGUGGCAAGCGUUGUCCGGAAUUAUUGGGCGUAAAGGGCUCGCAGGCGGUUUCUUAAGUCUGAUGUGAAAGCCCCCGGCUCAACCGGGGAGGGUCAUUGGAAACUGGGAAACUUGAGUGCAGAAGAGGAGAGUGGAAUUCCACGUGUAGCGGUGAAAUGCGUAGAGAUGUGGAGGAACACCAGUGGCGAAGGCGACUCUCUGGUCUGUAACUGACGCUGAGGAGCGAAAGCGUGGGGAGCGAACAGGAUUAGAUACCCCAUAGUCCCUGUCUCUUAUACA
rnacentral:rRNA from 1 species